UAAUUGCCCUGAAUCUCUUCACAAUCUUCAUUAGGAUUCCUAACACUCUGAAACUAGCAUUCUUCUUACGAAACCCUCAAAAUCGCUAUCACUCUCAAAAUCCCUAAUACUCCAAUAUUGAAUCCCUAACCGCACUCAUGUUCAUCACGAUUCAGCAUCGAAUCGCACUCAAAAUCCUCAAUGUUCAUCACAAUCAACAUUGAAUCCCUAACUCACUCUUGUUCUCGUCAACACGAUUCAACACUGAAUCCAGAACUCACUCUCGUUCAUUCGCACCAUCACUUCUUCAGAAUCGUGAACGGUUCUCGUUCGCACCAUUGCUCACUCUCGUUCGAUCUAAGAACAAACUGCGAAGAAAUAAGCUGAGAACCUGAGGAGUAUUUCUAAGAGGUAUGAACUCUAUAAGAAGAGAAGGACAGAGGCAAUUACCAGUUUAUUACAGGAAAAAGUAAAGUUGAUGAAGAGUGAUCAGUCUCGGCUUUCCCUUGAAGCACAUGAAUUUGUUUUGGGUUGUCCUACUGAUGAUUGCUAUUGCAAGCGUGCAGUUAAGUUAAUAUAUAGUAAAAAAAUUAUUGUUAGAGAUGCCUAAGAGAGGAUAUCUUGCCUGCUAUAUCGGCAUCUAAUUACUUGUACGUUACUUUGCUCAAAUUUUCUUGUUAAAUUGCUUUAUUUCGUUUGUCGUAUCUCGUAUGCUGUUCAUUAUAAUCUUUGAUCUCUAAUUUUUGCUUCUGGGAGGAUCAUAUUUAAUUGGGUGUG